AGAGUUUGAUCCUGGCUCAGAAUGAACGCUGGCGGCGUGCUUAACACAUGCAAGUCGAACGAUGAAGCCUAGCUUGCUAGGUGGAUUAGUGGCGCACGGGUGAGUAAUAUAUAGAUAAUGUGCCUCUUAGUCUGGGAUAGCCAUUGGAAACGAUGAUUAAUACUAGAUACUCCUUCUCAUUCUAAUGUGAGUUGGGAAAGUUUUUCGCUAAGAGAUCAGUCUAUAUCCCAUCAGCUUGUUGGUAGUGUAAGAGACUACCAAGGCUAUGACGGGUAGCGGGUUUGAGAGGAUGAUCCGCCACACUGGUACUGAGACACGGACCAGACUCCUACGGGAGGCAGCAGUGAGGAAUAUUGCACAAUGGGGGAAACCCUGAUGCAGCAACGCCGCGUGGAGGAUGACGCAUUUCGGUGUGUAAACUCCUUUUAUGAGUCAAGAAAAUGACGGUAGCUCAUGAAUAAGCACCGCUAACUU
rnacentral:rRNA from 1 species